AUACGUAGGUGACAAGCGUUAUCCGGAUUUACUGGGCGUAAAGGGCGUGUAGGCGGUCUUGCAAGUCAGAAGUGAAAUUCCUGAGCUCAACUCGGGCGCUGCUUCUGAAACUGCAGGACUUGAGUGCUGGAGGGGAUAGCGGAAUUCCUAGUGGAGCGGUAAAAUGCGCAGAUAUUAGGAAGAACACCGGUGGCGACGGCGGCUAUCUGGACAGUAACUGACGCUGAGGCGCGAAAGCGUGGAGAGCAAACAGGAUUAGAUACCCGGGUAGUCCACGCCGUAAACGAUGAAUACUAGGUGUAGGGGGUAUCGACUCCCUCUGUGCCGCAGUUAACACAAUAAGUAUUCCGCCUGGGGAGUACGGCCGCAAGGUUGAAACUCAAAUGAAUUGACGGGG
rnacentral:rRNA from 1 species